rnacentral:piRNA from 1 species
CCCAAAGUUUACAAUAACACCAAUGAUGCA